UGUUGUUAAAGUCCCGGAUGGAAGCC
rnacentral:piRNA from 1 species